rnacentral:rRNA from 1 species
CAGUCGCCGCGGUAAUACGUAGGUCCCGAGCGUUGUCCGGAUUUAUUGGGCGUAAAGCGAGCGCAGGCGGUUAGAUAAGUCUGAAGUUAAAGGCUGUGGCUUAACCAUAGUACGCUUUGGAAACUGUUUAACUUGAGUGCAAGAGGGGAGAGUGGAAUUCCAUGUGUAGCGGUGAAAUGCGUAGAUAUAUGGAGGAACACCGGUGGCGAAAGCGGCUCUCUGGCUUGUAACUGACGCUGAGGCUCGAAAGCGUGGGGAGCAAACAGGAUUAGAGACCCCAGUAGUCCCUGUCUCUUAUACA